rnacentral:lncRNA from 1 species
GCCGGUGUCAUAUGGUAUUUUGAACCCCAUGGUAAAUUGACCCCGGGGUCAAAAUACCGCUAUGGUAAAUUGAACCCCCCAUGGUAAAUUGAACCCCCCCUGUAUGGAAAAUUGAACCCCCAUGGUAAAUUGAACCCCCCUGUUUUUUUCAUCCUAGAUGAAUAUUAGAACAUUUUACAUUAUUCUAAAGCUUAUCAUAGAUUAAAAAAUCAUUCAUACAAGAAGGGGAGGUACAUUUUCCAUGCUUAAUUAAAAGAAAUAUCUUUGCUUGGUAUAAGUGCUCUGAAGUCUUUACCAACAAAAUGUCAUUCAAAAUACUUAUUGACACAUUAUAACUAGACCAUAUGUAGCUUGAAUGCUUUAAUUAUUUGUAAUUAUAACAUAUGUAUAUAUAUAUAUAAGGGUAGUUUUGAUUUUCCAUGGUAAAAAAAGGGGGAGGGGGUCAAAAUACCAUGGCAAAGUAAAAUUUUAAAAAAUAUC